rnacentral:rRNA from 1 species
AGCGAACGCUGGCGGCAGGCCUAACACAUGCAAGUCGAACGAAGUCUUCGGACUUAGUGGCGGACGGGUGAGUAACACGUGGGAACGUGCCUUUAGGUUCGGAAUAACUCAGGGAAACUUGUGCUAAUACCGAAUGUGCCCUUCGGGGGAAAGAUUUAUCGCCUUUAGAGCGGCCCGCGUCUGAUUAGCUAGUUGGUGAGGUAAAGGCUCACCAAGGCUACGAUCAGUAGCUGGUCGGAGAGGAUGACCAGCCACAUUGGGACUGUGACACGGCCCAAACUCCUACGGGAGGCAGCAGUGGGGAAUCUUGCGCAAUUGGCGAAAGCCUGACGCAGCCAUGCCGCGUGGAUGAUGAAGGUCUUAGGAUUGUAAAAUCCUUUCACCGGUGAAGAUAAUGACUGUAGCCGGAGAAGAAGCCCCGGCUAACUUCGUGCCAGCCGCCGCGGUAA